UUUGUUUUGGCGGACUGUUGUGCGAGUGAAUAAUAACAAAUGUUAUAUUACAAAAUACGAUGGGAAAUUGUAAAAUAUUAAAUUGCAAGACCAAAAAAGGCGAACAAACUUUUUUCAAUGUUCCACACGAUCUGGCUACGCGGAAAAAAUGGGUUCAGCAGAUACGGCGCCAUCAAACAUUUGACGAUACACCGAUUUCUUAUCCUGUGUGCUCUCUUCACUUCAAUCCGACCGACAUAAUCAAAAACGGCAAAAGAACCACACUUAAAAAAGGUUCGCUACCAACGAUUUUUCCAAGUGCUGAUGGACGGAAUGUUGUUUUGGAAAUUGAAGAGUAUCCACAAGAAAUCGAAUUAGCUCUGAACAAUGCACAAACAACAUCUCUUUACAUUGAACCAAUCCAAGAAAAAAA